rnacentral:snRNA from 2 species
AGCUUUGCACAGUGGCAAUAUCAUAGCCAAUGAGGUUUAUCCAAGGCACGAUUAUUGCUAAUUCAAAUAACAACAACAACAAAAAAACAAUUUAAUGCCUACGACAUUAUUAGAAGAUGCUAAUAUUUAUAACAUAUAGCAAUG